UACGUAGGGUGCGAGCGUUGUCCGGAAUUAUUGGGCGUAAAGAGCUCGUAGGCGGUGUGUCGCGUCGGCCGUGAAAACCUGGGGCUCAACUCUGGGCGUGCGGUCGAUACGGGCAUCACUUGAGUUCGGCAGGGGAGACUGGAAUUCCUGGUGUAGCGGUGAAAUGCGCAGAUAUCAGGAGGAACACCGAUGGCGAAGGCAGGUCUCUGGGCCACUACUGACGCUGAGAAGCGAAAGCGUGGGGAGCGAACAGG
rnacentral:rRNA from 1 species